rnacentral:rRNA from 1 species
AAUAGAUACCCCGGUAGUCCACGCUGUAAACGAUGAGUACUAAAUGUUGGUAGGGAACCUAUCAGUAUUGAAGCUAACGCGAUAAGUACUCCGCCUGGGAAGUACGGCCGCAAGGUUGAAACUCAAAUGAAUUGACGGGGGCCCGCACAAGCGGUGGAGCAUGUGGUUUAAUUCGAUGCAACGCGAAGAACCUUACCUACCCUUGACAUCCUGCGAAUCCCGAUGAGAGUUGGGAGUGCCGAAAGGAGCGCAGAGACAGGUGCUGCAUGGCUGUCGUCAGCUCGUGUUGCGAGAUGUUGGGUUAAGUCCCGUAACGAGCGCAACCCUUGCCCUUAGUUGCCAGCAGGUAAAGCUGGGGACUCUAAGGGGACUGCCGGUGAGGAACCGGAGGAAGGCGGGGACGACGUCAAGUCAUCAUGGCCUUUAUGGGUAGGGCUACACACGUGCUACAAUGGGGCGUACAGAGAGUCGCGAACCCGCGAGGGGGAGCCAAUCUCAUAAAGCGUCUCGUAGUCCGGAUUGGAGUCUGCAACUCGACU